rnacentral:lncRNA from 1 species
ACACCUUCUGCCACUUGGACGUUCAAGGCUUUGGUCUGGAAAUGGCUGCAGUCUUCCAGGAGGGUUGCUAGAGCCACGCCUACCAAAGUGUCCUCCCCUGUCUUUUACAACCUAAGUUCUCCACAUAACAAAAGCCGUCGAGUCCGUAGCCUUCCUGGAUGCCCAUACAUCAGAAUCCUCAG